AGCUCAGAGUUAAGAUCUGUAAUACAGAAGAUUUGAUAUCCUGGACAUGAUCUUGCGGAAGAUGGGCGACCAUGCUUUGCUGCCACAAGUCUCCUUCACACAGUGCCGCCCGCAAACAUGUCAUGCAGCAUUUGUCAAUCAAACAUGUGUUAGAUGAUGGAAAAGAUCACACAUGGCAUUUGAUUUCAAGUAAUGAUGUUAGAAGUUUCUCGGUGAUGACCAGAUCUUGAGGUUCCACGGUGAUGAUGGAAAUAUUCCACGGUGAUGACCAGAUCUUGAGGUUCUAUGCUGCGUCGCAAAGGCUGGUUCUUGAAGUUUCUUGAUUUCACCACAAUUUUAGCAGUUUUGUGUACCAACUCUUUCAGCUUAUUUGUAGCAUGUGUGCUUCUGCACAAUACUGAAGUUUUGAACAGUGGUAGCCUGUAACAAACCUAUAAAGCCCUAUGAUGUUUGGCACCAUGAGGUGUUUAUAUGAA